UUGUUUCAUAAACACAAAUACUAAUAUCGGAAUGACCCAGACAAGAUCAGUGUAGCUCAUGAGAAAGGAUGACAUAUGAAUUCAUGAAGCAUUGCAUACCUUU